rnacentral:lncRNA from 1 species
GACCAUAUGUACUAUGGAAUGUCAAAGCCUAAGUAAUGACAAUGACACAAUAACGAAUACUUAUGCUACUGCUUUAAAAUUUACAAGAAAUCUAAAAUACAUUGUCUCUAAUAACGAAGAGAACACCUAAACAAAUGCUACCUGUGAAGAAAGAAUAAUCAAAACUCCUUCAUAUUAUACGGAACAACAAGGUUGAUAGAAAUCAACUUUGAGAACAAAUAAACAUGCUCAAAUGGGAUAUGUUAUCCACACACAAAUAAAGAAACGAGCAUCCAGCAAGAAAACUUCAUCCUGAAAUCAAGAGCUUGAAUAACAACCAAGAAAAGUCAAACUUGAAAGCUAACCGAAACACGACUAAUGUUCUUUGAAAAGAAACAAGAACAAAUAAAAAACGCAGACCUGUUCAAAGAAAAAAAAUCAAUGUCAUUAGGCAACCAUAUGGGCAUGGCAGUAAGCAUACAAACACCAGCAUGCCACUGUCCCUUUUAUUAUUUUUUUAGCACUUUCUUUAGACUAUAGGUAAUAAAGAAAACAUACUAAGGCAACGAGGGUAUACCAUGAGAUUUAACACAAAUUUUCGAACAAAUGGGUAUAUAUUCAAGACCAAAAUAAUGUAAAAUCGACCUUCGAAUGCCGUAACCUUUUUGAUAUAAGACCUAACAAUAAUCUCUCCCUGUAUCAAUGAUAUACUUCCGCUAGAAAUCGGAUUUGAUAUCAUCUUGGAACAACAAAAUCAUUAGACGAGUCAAGAACGCAACACAUGAACUUCAAACAAUCAUCAACCUCACAAAUAAACUUCAAAUUUGAAUAUCUUAAUCAAUUCGUUCAACUUGAGGUGAGAGAAUGAAUGAUAAGACGCCGAAUGUUGAACACCGAUGUAGAUUAGACUAUAAGAAAAAAAGGCUCAAGAAGGAAGAACAACGAAAUAUCGCUUUAGAUAAUACCACAUAGCCUUCUUCAACUCUAACCGGAUACCAUAUCUACUUAAAUGAAUCAACAACAUAUAAGUCAUACCAAUAUCUCCAUUGAAUUAACAUUAAAUAGAUGAACAAACAGCAGAAAAUUUCCAGCAACAAAGUGCUAUUUCACAGAGAAAACGGAGGAGAAAAGGAGAGUAUGUUAUCGAGAAACGAGUUGUACCUUCUUCGUAUAGAGAACCAGAGAUAGGAAUGAGCUUGGAUAGACUUCAAUAUCUUCCUUUAAGAUUCAGAAAUCCAACAAAUUUUGCAACAAAUAACAAAAAAAAAUAAAUUAUCGCAUGUUUGUUAUAUGAAUAUUAUAACCUAGUAAUUCCUUUUCUUGUAAGUUCUUGCUAACAAAAAUGGACUCAAAAUCUUUCUACUUUUUGUAAUAUUUUUUCAAGCUAAAGAAGUUUUUUCCCUUUUCUCUCACUGAUAUUUAUAGGAGAGAAAAAUGGGAAGAAAAUUUUUGGGCGGAAAAUGGAUGGGAUUUGAUUUCGAAAUUCAAAUCCCUCUUCAGCAUAAGCUUCCAACUCUAUCCUUGUACGAUCAUCAACAGAAAAUCGAAGGGAGACAUCCCAUUUUAGAGGAAGGACAAGAGAGAAAGGGAGAUUUCGACCUGGGGCCUUCGAGUACAAUUUUCGUAUAAUAGGAUAAGGGAGAGGGGAAGGAACCCGCCUGGCUACUGGAAAGCUUUACUUUACGCGUGAAGAAGAAGAUGACACAGUAGAUCGGUCGGAAGUUCGGGGUGGGUAUGGUGAGAAUGGG